rnacentral:hammerhead_ribozyme from 1 species
ACACCGCUGACGAGUCCCAAACAGGACGAAACAGCUGUCUAGUAC